GAGUUUGCUUUAUUAAAGCUCCCUGCUGCCUGUACACGUUCGCUGGCACAGACACCGAGAGAGACAAGCAAACACUUACCCGAGUGCAGAGUACUCGCUGCUGCAUUGCAGAGUUUACUGGCAUAAAAUGAUGGGGGAAGAAGAAAACUAAAUGAAGAGGAAGAGAACUAUGUAUGCAAGGCUGUGCAGCUCCCUGUCCCCUCCAACAGGAGCCCUGAAAACCACACAAGGCAUGGCGGUUGUCUUCUGCUGGGAAGACACAUUUCAAAGGUUCUGAGGGGCAACAACAUGAAUCCUUCGUUGAUCACUUUUGCAAGCUAGAUCCUGGUUAGGAAGGAGGACAUCUGCUUCCCUGAUAUGGCACAGGUAAGAGUGGUCACUAGGAUGGGCAGAAUGUGAAAUGUCUGCUUGGCAAACGCCCUGAAAGUCCUGCCUGGCUGUGGGAGCUUCUGGGAGCUCUGUCCCUCUGGUUAAAUCCAGCUUUCUCUAUCUAUAGGUACUCCCAUCAGAAACGUGCCAUUUCAGGGGUCCUCAGUCUGGCAGGCAAGAUCAAAGUAAC
rnacentral:lncRNA from 1 species